UACGUAGGUGACAAGCGUUGUCCGGAUUUACUGGGCGUAAAGAGCGCGCAGGCGGUCGUGCAAGUCGCGUGUGAAAGCCCCCGGCUCAACUGGGGAGGGUCACGCGAUACUGCUCGACUCGAAGGCAGGAGAGGGAAGUGGAAUUCCAGGUGUAGCGGUGAAAUGCGUAGAUAUCUGGAGGAACACCGGUGGCGAAGGCGGCAUCCUGGACCGACACUGACGCUGAGGAGCGAAAGCCAGGGGAGCAAACGGG
rnacentral:rRNA from 1 species